GCCAUCUCCCUCCCCUGGAAACACAGCUGAGGACUGGACAUCAGGACAAUGAGUUGUAGCUGCAAGGACAUGGGUCCUAGCGGCCCAGUGGACCACCUGCGGGCUGAUGGUGAUGAGCUGUUGCUGUUGCUUGGAGAAGCUGUGUGACUCACGUGCAAUCAUCCUGAAACCUUGGUGUGAAAAUAAACAGGAAAGGCUAAA